CUCAGAACGAACGCUGGCGGCGUGCCUAACACAUGCAAGUCCAACGUGAAAGGGGAGCAAUCCCCCGGUAGGGUGGCAAACGGGUGAGUAAUACAUGGGUGAUCUACCUUAGGGAUGGGGAUAUCCUUCCGAAAGGAGGGGCAAUACCGAAUAUUGUCCGGAGCCGUGAAGGGUUCCGGGGAAAGGGAGGCCUCUGAUACAAGCUUUCGCCUUAAGAUGAGCCCAUGGCCCAUCAGCUAGUUGGUAGGGUAAAGGCCUACCAAGGCUACGACGGGUCGCUGGUCUGAGAGGACGACCAGCCACACUGGCACUGAGAUACGGGCCAGACUCCUACGGGAGGCAGCAGUGAGGAAUAUUGCGCAAUGGGGGAAACCCUGACGCAGCAACGCCGCGUGUGGGAAGAAGGCCUUCGGGUCGUAAACCACUUU
rnacentral:rRNA from 1 species